rnacentral:rRNA from 1 species
UCCAGACUCCUACGGGAGGCAGCAGUGAGGAAUAUUGGUCAAUGGUCGGGAGACUGAACCAGCCAAGCCGCGUGAGGGAGGAAGGUACAGAGUAUCGUAAACCUCUUUUGUCAGGGAACAAAGACUGGGACGCGUCCCCGGAUGAGUGUACCUGAAGAAAAAGCAUCGGCUAACUCCGUGCCAGCAGCCGCGGUAAUACGUAGGGGGCAAGCGUUAUCCGGAUUUACUGGGUGUAAAGGGAGCGUAGACGGCUGUACAAGUCUGAAGUGAAAGCCCGUGGCUCAACCGCGGAACUGCUUUGGAAACUGUAAAGCUGGAGUACUGGAGAGGCAGGCGGAAUUCCUAGUGUAGCGGUGAAAUGCGUAGAUAUUAGGAGGAACACCAGUGGCGAAGGCGGCCUGCUGGACAGAAACUGACGUUGAGGCUCGAAAGCGUGGGGAGCAAACAGGAUUAGAUACCCCAGUA